rnacentral:lncRNA from 1 species
AGAAAAUGCAACUGUUCAAGUCAAAUUUAACUGUGAAAGCAGACUUCAGCACAAAUAACUAAUGAAGCACCAUUUUUUUUUUUGUAAAGGUGACACUCUAAAAUUUCACAAUUUUUAAUACAGCGACUGCCAAUAUUCUUACAUGAAGACUCUUGCUCAAGAUUCUGGUUCCAAAGAGAGCAUCUUUGAAAUGGAGCAAGAUGACACCUGCAUGGUUCUUCAGUGGAAAGGCUCAUAACUUGUUAAUAAGAGCUACAAAAAGCUAAGAGUAUCUUUAGAAAGCAGAGUGAACAUAUCUUGUUAUUUAAAACAUUACAAUGUAGAUCAAUUUGGUAAUAAGACAGCAAAACAGAAGAAAACACUGAAGCUGAAAUACACGGCUACAAGUGAAGCUGGAGAGCAGCUUGGGGUGUCCUGAGGUCAAAGGCAUACUGUAGAUGAAUUACAGCAAGCGAGUCCUCAGUUGCUCUGAGCAAAAGCAGUCAUGAUUUCUCAGACACAGCCUGGAAGAAAUCCAAUAAAGUAAACAACACAGAUUCAGGGACUCCAGAGACCUCUAACGAAAUGGGGUUAUUGAAGAGAAAAUACCCAAAUGUGAAUUGUAAACUAAACAAGUGCAGGAAAUAAAGAGGCAGUGGCCAUGUUUAGUCUGAAAUGUGCUGAUCAAUUGAAUUCACAUUUCCUAAAACACUCUGAUUUUGCUUGGGUUGGAUGGAUGCUUGAUUUUCCACAGAACAGAGCACGGCAGUAGUCAGUAAUAAAGGGCACACUAACACGGCAAGAUUGAUGGCAAAAUACUUGUGGAAGUUAUAAGAUUGUUUUUAAAAAAAUCUGUGGUGCAUAAGAUCUACUAACAGCUGUUGCCCAUGGUCCAUGCUAAGGACUACUUACUAGUCUUUUUCUGAUUUUUCUGGGACAUCUACCCUACCUAGGAAAUCCAGACAGGUCUCUCUCUCUAGCUCAGCUCAGCAGUGUCUCUCUCUCUCUCUUUCUCUCUCUCUCUCUCACUCUCUCUAAUUUUACCUUAAAUAAGGGCUUCAGA